rnacentral:rRNA from 1 species
GACGAACGCUGGCGGCGUGCUUAACACAUGCAAGUCGAACGGAAAGGCCCUGCUUUUGUGGGGUGCUCGAGUGGCGAACGGGUGAGUAACACGUGAGUAACCUGCCCUUGACUUUGGGAUAACUUCAGGAAACUGGGGCUAAUACCGGAUAGGAGCUCCUGCUGCAUGGUGGGGGUUGGAAAGUUUCGGCGGUUGGGGAUGGACUCGCGGCUUAUCAGCUUGUUGGUGGGGUAGUGGCUUACCAAGGCUUUGACGGGUAGCCGGCCUGCGAGGGGGACCGGCCACAUUGGGACUGAGGUACGGCCCAGACUCCUACGGGAGGCAGCAGUGGGGAAUAUUGCACAAUGGGCGGAAGCCUGAUGCAGCAACGCCGCGUGCGGGAUGACGGCCUUCGGGUUGUAAACCGCUUUCUCCUGUGAUGAAGCGUGAGUGACGGUAAUGGGUAAAGAAGCACCGGCUAACUACGUG